rnacentral:misc_RNA from 1 species
GAUGAAGAACGUAGCGAAAUGCGAUAAGUAAUGUGAAUUGCAGAAUUCAGUGAAUCAUCGAAUCUUUGAACGCACAUUGCGCCCCCUGGUAUUCCGGGGGGCAUGCCUGUUCGAGCGUCAUUACAACCCUCAAGCUCUGCUUGGUAUUGGGCCCCGCCAGUUCUGGCGGGCCCUAAAGUCAGUGGCGGUGCCUUCCGGCUCCGAGCGUAGCAAUUCUUCUCGCUCUGGAGACCCGGUUGUGUGCUUGCCAACAACCCCCAAUUUUUUAAGGUUGACCUCGGAUCAGGUAGGGAUACCCGCUGAACUUAAGCAUAUCAAUAAGCGGAGGA